GACGAACGCUGGCGGCGUGCUUAACACAUGCAAGUCGAACGGAAAGGCCCUGCUCUUGUGGGGUGCUCGAGUGGCGAACGGGUGAGUAACACGUGAGUAACCUGCCCUUGACUUUGGGAUAACUUCAGGAAACUGGGGCUAAUACCGGAUAGGAGCUCCUGCUGCAUGGUGGGGGUUGGAAAGUUUCGGCGGUUGGGGAUGGACUCGCGGCUUAUCAGCUUGUUGGUGGGGUAGUGGCUUACCAAGGCUUUGACGGGUAGCCGGCCUGAGAGGGUGACCGACCACAUGGGGACGGGGAUACGGCCCAGACUCCUAGGGGAGGCAGCAGGGGGGAAUAUUGCACAAUGGGCGGAAGCCUGAUGCAGCAACGCCGCGUGCGGGAUGACGGCCUUCGGGUUGUAAACCGCUUUCGCCUGUGACGAAGCGUGAGUGACGGUAAUGGUAAAGAAGCACCGGCUAACUACGUG
rnacentral:rRNA from 1 species